rnacentral:rRNA from 1 species
CUUACGAGGACAAUUGGAGGGCAAGUCUGGUGCCAGCAGCCGCGGUAAUUCCAGCUCCAAUAGCGUAUAUUAAAGUUGUUGCAGUUAAAAAGCUCGUAGUUGGAUUUUGGGAUAAGCUUGUUGGGCCGCCGCGAGGUGUUUGCCCCGACGAGGGUAUCCUUCCUCUCGAAAUUGGCGUGUGCGCUUAAUUGAGUGUGCGUCGAGUUUGGGACUUUUACUGUGAAAAAAUUAGAGUGUUCAAAGCAGGCUAUCGCUUGAAUAUUUCAGCAUGGAAUAAUGGAAUAGGACGUUGGUUCUAUUUUGUUGGUUUCUAGGACCGAAGUAAUGAUUAAUAGGGAUAGUUGGGGGCAUUAGUAUUUAAUUGUCAGAGGUGAAAUUCUUGGAUUUAUGAAAGACUAACUUCUGCGAAAGCAUUUGCCAAGGAUGUUUUCAUUAAUCAAGAACGAAAGUUAGGGGAUCGAAGAUGAUCAGAUACCGUCGUAGUCCUAACCAUAAACUAUGCCGACUAGGGAUUGGUGGAUGUUAAUUCUAUGACUCCAUA